rnacentral:rRNA from 1 species
UACGUAGGUGACCAGCGUUGUCCGGAUUUACUGGGCGUAAAGAGCGCGCAGGCGGUCGUUCAAGUCGAGUGUGAAAGCCCCCGGCUCAACUGGGGAGGGUCACUCGAUACUGAUCGACUUGAAGGCAGGAGAGGGAAGCGGAAUUCCCGGUGUAGUGGUGAAAUGCGUAGAUAUCGAGAGGAACACCAGUGGCGCAAGCGGCUGACUGGCCGAGACCUGACGCUGAGACACGACGGCGUGGGGAGCAAACCGG